UACGAAGGGGGCUAGCGUUGUUCGGAAUUACUGGGCGUAAAGCGCACGUAGGCGGGUUGUUAAGUCAGGGGUGAAAUCCUGGAGCUCAACUCCAGAACUGCCUUUGAUACUGGCAACCUAGAGACUGGAAGAGGUUAGUGGAAUUCCCAGUGUAGAGGUGAAAUUCGUAGAUAUUGGGAAGAACACCAGUGGCGAAGGCGGCUAACUGGUCCAGCACUGACGCUGAGGUGCGAAAGCGUGGGGAGCAAACGGG
rnacentral:rRNA from 1 species